UAUGGAUUUUUUUCGCACAAAAAGGUAGAAUAGAAGGGUUUUGUAUUGGUUUUUCAUCAAAAGAUUUUAAAAGUUUUCCUAAAAAUUUUUGUUGUAAUUGAGGAUCUUCAACUUGGGUAAGAAUUUCUAAGAGCAACUUUUGAUCUUUUGAAAGGACAUUGAUUUUUAAUUUGGGUUCUGUAAACAUUUCAUUUUCUAUUUCAGAAUCUGAACUGGAUGAUGAACUUGUAAUUAAUUCAUCAAUUUGUAAUCCUUCUUCAUUUUUUGUGGGUUCAGAAUAACUGGACUCACCUUUGGUUUCAACUAAAAGAGCAGUUAUUUUAUUGAUAACUUCUUCUUCUAAUUGUAACUCAUGAAGUUUUCUGUUUAACUUGCAAAAAUUUGUAGUGUGACCUUUCUUUCUGCAUUUGUAGCAAGUUAAAUCUUUGAAUUUUGUUUUGGAUUGAUGACUAGUUUUACUAGUUUUUUUUUAAGGUUUUUUGUAAUAGGAAUCUUUUUCUUAUUUUGAAGAGUUUUUGUAUUUUUUGGAUAAUUUUUUAUAAGGUUUUCUGCUACAACUUUCUCCACAAUCUGGAAUAGGGUUCUUGGUUCCUAUUUCAAAUUGUUUGCAGAAAGAUCCUAACUCUUGGCGAGUUUUCCUCAUUUCCCAUUUCAGAUGUUUUUAUAAUUUCAAAUCCUGACAAACCUUUAAACCUUCUUUUUGCGUGAGACUGACUAGUUCACCAUAGGUUAAUUUAUCAUACGGGAUUUGAUUUCCAAAUGCUUCCUUAAUUUUAUUCCUAACUUUUUCUCCUAAAAGGGUCGAAAGUCCAGCAAGAAAUUUUUCUUUCCAAAAGGGCUGAUUAAAAUAUUCUCUAAGCAUUGCCCUAGUAAGAAAAGUGUUUUUAUAAUACUGAAAAUCACUCAGUUUUUUGCAUCUAAGGUUUGAAAGGAGUUUGGCAUUCUUGUCCUUAAAAUGAGAUGGAUCACCUACGGAAUGUAAAGAAAUUGUCACAAUCAAGGUGGCUACUGCAUUUGGGAUUGGCUGGCCUAAUUCAUCAAGAAUCUCAGAUUUUUGUAGUUUUGUGAAAUGAUAAUCUCACCAUCCUUUGAGCUGUCCUGAGAAUCCUGCAAUGAGGAGUUCAGCAAUAGCUCUGUCUGGGGUUCCAGUUUGGGUUUUGUAAGCAUUUGCUGCCAUGGUCAUUUGCUGGAGCAAAUUCAAGAUGUUGUAUUCAGACAUACCAUCUAUGUUCCAUUCAUAGAUAGUAGAGGCAUUGAAUUUAGACUGGGUUAAAAUUUUAGGUCUAUUUUCUAUGCCUAAAUCUGGAGCUGUUAUUGGAAGGGGCAUUGCUAUCUUCGGCCAAUAAAGUCUAUUGAUUUGUAAAGGUUUUGAAGAAUGAAUUUCUUCAGUUUGGAUGGGCUGGUUUUCUUGGCUUUGGACAUCUGAAUCUGAAUCUUCCUCAAUUAUAUUGACACUCCUUUGGGAAGUUUGAGGUGUUUCAGGUGCUACUGGAAUAGAAGUCAAAGCUUCUAGUCUAGCUUUCAUGUCUCUUAAAGCUUGAAUGAAUUGAGAAUUGCUGUUGUUUUAUAAAUCUUUCUGGCCUUUUUUUGGAAACUUGAAAUGGUUUGAAGAUUGGGUUUUUUAGUUUUGUAUCAGGCUUAGUUUCAACCUGAGAAACUAUAGCCUGUUGGGUUUGUUCUAUUUUUUGUAAUUGCUUACCGAUGGUAUGCAAAUGAGCAUUUGUAAAGUUAUUCUAUAGAAUAAUAUUUUUUAUAUUCACAGAAUCAUUUUCAUUUGGAAUUUUGUAAGGGGCUGCUUCUACUGUUUGUUCCAAGUGGGAAAUUUUU
rnacentral:misc_RNA from 1 species